AUUUAGCCCUGAUGGAAGCGAAUAUCCUAUUGUAUUCGCUACAAGCGAAUGCAAUAGAUAGCAGCGAACAGCAGGAACCCAU
rnacentral:sRNA from 1 species